rnacentral:misc_RNA from 1 species
GUAGGAUUAUGCAAUAUGGGACCUUUGCUGUGGCCAACUGGUUUAGAAAUUAGACCAAAAACUUUAGUUUCUGAAUUUAUGGACUCAACCUUAUAGGCUUCUGUAAGGCUGUCUAAAGUAGGCAGACCAGGAAUUGAACUUCCUUCCAGGGAUCCAUAGACUAAAGAACCACCAAAUUUUGGAGCUAAUAUCUGGCUUAUGAU